UCCCUCGUAGUUCAGUCGGUAGAAAGGCGGACUGUUAAUCCGUAUGUCACAGGUUCAAGUCCUGUCGAGGGAGCCA
rnacentral:tRNA from 1 species